UAACACUAUCAACAUAAAUAAGUAAUAGCAGUGAUUAAGUCUGUAUGGGAAGGUUGAGGGAGGUGGCAUUUGAAUCCACAUUUAAAGGAUGAAUGGAAGUUUGUUGAGAGGACAGGAUGCAGAAGCAUUUUCCAGAGAGAGGGAAUAGCAUGGACAAAGACCUGAAGGCAUGAACAACACAGCGUGUUUGUAGUUUAGUUUAUCUAAAGCAAGGUGCAAGGUAGGAGCCGUGGAAUCAGAGCUAUGGAGGUAGGACACUGCAAUCUCUCCCUCAUAAGUGAGCACCUCGGAUUUAACUGUCCAGCAUCAUUUGGAGCACAGGGCGGAGGAUUAUACCGAGGAACCACACCCAUGUCAUUUGAAUUGUCCACAAGACCACUAUAAGGACUUUCCAGGACCAUCACAAGGCUGCAAACCGCAUUUGAAGUGCUGCUUCUGGGGCAUUCUUUCCAAAGAGCCUUUUAGCAGGGCAGGGAGUGAAAGCAUUACCAGGUGCUCUGCUGAAACCGGUAGGAUGAACACCUUCCGAACAGGCUGCAUUCCUCCCGAGGAAACUGAAGAGUGUAACCUCACAGUGAAAUUCCCCCCAAGUCUUUGGCUCUGCAGGAAGCUUCUGGCUAUUUUUCAGGAGAUGCGUUUGCUGCAGGAGGAGUUGGUACCAGUCUUCAGUUCUCAGCCUGUAGGCCCCUGACAUGGGGCACUACUCUGUACAGUUCCAGAAACCAACAACAGCCAUUUAGCAGGAGUGUUGAAACUGCAGAUUGUUCUCCACUGUUCUUCACUGUGGCUGUGUUUGGAACUACCAAAUACUAAUCCUCAGAACUUGGUCUUGGACCUGGUUAUAAAUCUCAUUCCUGCAACUCUGAACAGUGUGAUCUUGGGAGAGUUACUUAAUUUUUCUGAGUCUCAGUUUUUCUUAUCUAUAAAAUGAAGUUAGUAAUAGUAUGGACUUCAUAUAACGUAUGUGAUGAUUAAAUUACAGAGCACAUGUAAUGUGUGUAGCACAAUGCGUGGUACAUAACUAGGCCUCAACAAAUGGCCCAACAAUGUGUUGUUGGUCUAGGGUGGGAGACAGUAAUCUCCCUUUGACUGUCAUUAUCUUUUGACUGGGAAGAUUGGGUAGGCAACAAUGUUGCCUGUUUGCUGUACUUAGCUCUACUUUACUUUUUAUUUUUUUAUUUUUUUGAGACAGAGUCUCACUCUGUCACCCAGACUGGAGUGCAAUGGCACAAUCUUGGCUCACCACACCCUCCAUCUCCCAGAUUCAAGCAAUUCUCCUGCUUCAGCCUCUCAAGUUGCUGGGAUUACAGGCAUGUGCCACCAUGCCCAGCUAAUUUUUUGUAUUUUUAGUAGAGACAGCGUUUCACCAUGUUAGCCAAGCUGGUCUCAAACUCCUGACUUCAGGUGAUCCACCCACCUCAGCCUCCCAAAGUGCUGGGAUUACAGCUGUGAGCCACCGCACCCAGCCGUCUACUUCAUUCUUGCUUGGUUGUUUGCUUCCUGCUCUCACCAAAUUGUAAAGCUCACUGAGGACAUGAACUAAGAUUCUGUGGCCAACAGGGUCUUUCUAUAUAGUAGAUAGUCAAUAAAUAUUUGUAGAUGGAUGCAUGGAUAUUUUUUCAACUGACUAUUUGAAUAUGACUUCUGAUACAUAUGAGUAUCAGUACCCAGGGAAUACAUGAUCCAAGGCUGGGGAGACAUGGGCUUAAUAUUUACUAACAUUUUCCCUUACCUGCCACCUGCUUCUCUUGAGACAUUAAAUCCAAAGGCUAUAAAUCCUGCUGCUUUGCAUGGCUGGGUUAGAUUGCAUAUGAGAAUUUUGCAAAGCAAAAAAGAUACAUCACACCAACUGGCCUCUCAAUGUAUGCUCCCCUCAAAAGGCUUUCAAGCCAAAAAUCCCUAAGCAGUAAUUAUGUGCAAGGCAAAG
rnacentral:lncRNA from 10 species